UGAGUUUGGACUGUGAAGUGUAAAAUUUCAUACCAUAAACUCUUCAGUCCCACUGGAGGCACAGAACACUCACAUCCUCUCCAUAUGCUGGACAGUCUUCCCAGGCAGCUCACUUGAAAAGGAUGCCAUUGGCACUUCUGCAAAGUGGUCAUCCGAAAGCUUUCACUUUGCUGGUGAGGAGCACGUCCGGAUGUGCGUGGAUCCUCUGGGGUCGCCCGUUGGAAGAAAGCCGCUUGCGGGUACUAGGCUGCCCGUCGGGGUCGGAGAGUUUUCACCUAUUUCCACAUCCUCCAGGAGGAAAGUCCAUCCGCCUUCUGAUGUAUAGUCGCGUGGGUGUCUCAGACGUCCUGAGAUGCUGUCUGGAUAUCCUUUGUCAAGCGAUAAGUGUCCAAAUAAUUGUAGACUCGAAGGGCGAGAGACAAAGAGGACUACUCACGACGCCAUCUUGGCUCUCUCCUCCGCAACUUAAUCAUUCUUAUCAUCCGUUUAUAUUUAAUUUAGUGGCCAAAGUAAGCAAAAACAUUGUUUAUCAUAGUGAAAGUAUAUGUAUCAGAACACAGAAAGCAGGCAUUUUUGUGUGUUUAAACGAGAAACAGAAUUUAGAUUAUUAUAUACUGAAUAACUGUAUGGCACUGAUGAACAGAGAAAUAGAGAGUGUCUAUUCAUGGUAUCACUUAAGCAUCAGCAUGACACACUGAGAAAAAAGUAAUUGCAUACAGCCAAGACAAUUUUCCUGGUUGAAAAACACAUUAAAUUGUCUUUACCUUUGAACUGGUUUACUUUAUAUAUUCUCUAAAAUAGAAUCAUAACAGGCCAAUGGAAACCAAAUAAAAC
rnacentral:lncRNA from 1 species